UACCCUCGAGUGGGGAAUAACUUCGGGAAACCGAGGCUAAUACCGCAUAAUACCCACGGGUCAAAGGAGCAAAUUCGCUUGAGGAGGAGGUCGCGGCCCGAUUAGUUAGUUGGCGGGGUAAUGGCCCCCACCAAGACGGUGAUCGGUAUCCGGCCUGAGAGGGCGCACGGACACACUGGAACUUGAAACACGGUCCAGACUCCUACGGGAGGCAGCAGUGGGGAAUUUUGCGCAAUGGGGGAAACCCUGACGCAGCAACGCCGCGUGGAGGGAAUGAAGUCUCUUGGGACGUAAACUCUUUUCGAUCGGGACGAUUAUGACGGUACCGGAAGAAGAAGCCCCGGCUAACUUCGUG
rnacentral:rRNA from 1 species